rnacentral:lncRNA from 1 species
AACAGUGAUUUUCUCCUUGGCCCAUUAACCACACGGAAGGGAGUAUUCGCUGUGGAGUGCCUCUGUAGCUGAGGGCCCCUGGCGCGUGGUUUCAUCAGAGGCAGACAGCUGCUGUGGCCAAGGCCAUUCCAGCCUCAGGAGGGCAAGAGGAGGCCUGUUGGAUGCAUCCUGAAAACACAGGCCAUCACUGUGGGUGAGAUCUACCAGGACAGAUGCCAUUCUGCAAAGUGGCAGGAGAAACACAGAGCCAGACGUUACACUGCUUUUCAAAGAGAGUUGCCUCUGCUGCCCCAGCGAGGAUGGCGACACAAACAGCGGUGGUGUCAGCGGACAGCGGUGGUGUCAGCGGUGACCGAGGCAGGGCCGAGACUCCAGGGCCCUUCGGGUUCAAGCUGUGCCCCCUCGCGCAGUUCAGCACCUGCCAGCACUUCCAAGUGUGUGAUUGUCACGCUUGCCUGAUUACUCCUUCCUUUGGGCUCCCAUAGCAAUUUGUACAUUACUGUGGAAUUGAUCAAAUUGCUUUAUAACUAGCUGUUUAUGUGUCUUUAAUCUGUG